UACUUCUGCGAUUUCUGCUACUUCUGCGAUUUCUGCGAUUUCUGCGAUUUCUGUGACUUCUGCGAUUUCUGCGACUUACCACCGUAUGAAAAAGUUACAUCUGCUCACACAGAAAAUUGCAUCUCAACAAAUCUGUCAUUGGUACCCGAACUACAUUUCAGUCACUCAGUAAAUUGAUAACUCAAAAUAUCAUUGUCAACAGAUCUGGAGAAAUUGCCACUGCGUCUUUUGACCGUUUUCGUCAGACGAGAGACACAGUUCUGACUCUUGAUUACUGGUUGCUGUACGUAUCUAUCCACAUCAAGGCUAUUGAGAGAGACUCGUGAAGAUUCAAGAUAGCUCUUAGAGGAUUUGCAGUUUAAAAGUAACAUAAUUGUGAAAUAAGUGUGCAGAUGAGUGAUUAAACUGUGUUUUAUUGAAGUUGUUAUGCGAUUUUAAAGGAAUAAUAAAUGUUAAAUACA